GACAGAGGGGGCAAGCGUUGCUCGGAAUCACUGGGCGUAAAGGGCGCGUAGGCGGGAUGGCAAGUCAGUCGUGAAAUCCCUGGGCUCAACUCAGGGGGGUCGGCUGAUACUGCCGGUCUGAGGGAUGCAGAGGAGACUGGAAUUCCCGGUGUAGCGGUGAAAUGUGUAGAGAUCGGGAGGAACACCGGUGGCGAAGGCGGGUCUCUGGGCAUUCCCUGACGCUGAGGCGCGAAAGCGUGGGGAGCAAACGGG
rnacentral:rRNA from 1 species